CAGGUGCCUUGCGCAUCCAGCUGUACUCAGUAGAUGAUCACGAAUCCAGCUGCCAAUAUUCUGUGGCUUUCUGUUCACUGAGCCGUGAAGGACCUUCCACAGCCUGUGAUUUAUCUAUGGGAGUCCAUGGGAGUGCUUGGCUCACAGCACACCUUUACCCAGCUAGCGUCAACUUCCUUCUCCAGGGAGCUGUUUGGAAAACAGCACGGUUCUCACAGGGUUGGCUACACUCUUUGCUAAAUCCCCGUGUUACCUCUCAAAGGGGGCUGUCAUUCUAUCUUGUGGUUUUUGUAGUCAUUUAUCUUCCUAACACCUAAGAGAGGUAAGCCACAGUCCCUUACCCAUGAGAAAACCGAGGCCACUGGGCAGAAAUUGGCCAGUGUCCCAGCUCCCAAAGCUCUGUGAAAGCUGGCAUUUUGUCUGCCUGUCCAAUCUGUCAGUCACAGUUCGUGGUUCAUGGCAGCUAGAAUAUUCAAAACAGGAACAUCCGCUCUAAUUAUGUAGAGCCAUGUGAAAGUGUGACUGAAUUUUACUGCCUAAAUCAGUUCUUUGAAAUGAUUAACCCCAGAGAAGAAUCUGGCAAAAUGUGUUUACAGAAAUUUGUAGGGGUUCUCAAAUGCACUAGGGAAAUCUGGGAACUUCUCUUGUCCAGAGGAACCCACCCCAACUAAAGUGAGCACUGGGCUGGGGCAGAGAUGCGGGAUGUCAUCACAAGGACAUGGUUUCUUCAAAGGAAGUCAAAAGCCACCUGGCCCAUGUUGCCUCUGGUGUUUAUUAAAAUGCAGAUUCCAGGCCUGGGGAUAUAGCUCAGCAGCCUAGCACCUGCCUGUCAUGCGCGAUGUCAUGAAUUUGAUUCCCAAUACAAAAAAAAAAAAAAAAAAAAAAACCCACCCACUAAAAUGCAGAUUCCUAGGCCUUCCUGGGAUUGAGUAAAUCGAAAACCCCAGGAGCAAAUAAAUAGUCUACCCUGGUGAUUCUUAUGCAUACUGAAAGUUGACGCUAACUGUGGUAGGAAGAAAGAAUUAGAGACAAGAAUAGUCUUAGCCAGAAAGCUCUUUAGCCAUCCUGUCCCCUAGAUGGCAAUGGUACAUGCACAUCACAAGAGGAUGGUGGCAACAUGUGACAGGCGAGAAAGAGAUACCCUAGGGUAGAGGAAGAACAGAAGAGGUCAGGCAGAGAAGGUGAGGUGCUGAUCAUUCAUCACCCCCUUUAGAAUCUUGCGUCCUUGGUGGAAGCCUGGGCUACCAGGUGAUAACAUAGAAAUCUUUAGGUAACAGAGUCUAAAGUAGCAGUGACUUCAGUCAUCUGAGAAACAUUCAGUAGGAUCGUUAGCAAUUUUAGCCUUUGUGCCAGCAAAAUUAGCCUAGUGUCUGAUUCGCAAAUCAUCCUGAGAAUGUAGAGCAUUGACAGUCUGAGAGAAGUCUCCGGAGCAAAAAGCAGCACCUAUUCAGUGUCUAUGAUUUCACCAUCGAAGACUAUGUCAAAGGGGUUUUGUUUGACUAAUUUUCAUUAUUUGUUGUUACCCAAUUAAUGAAACAUGAUACUAUUAAUGAGUGUGUGAACGAGACAGAGUCUUGGUUGCCACAUUUAAAACAUUCCCAGCUUUUUCAGAGUAGAAUAGUCCUGAGCUAAAGAGUGGCCUUUCUUCAUUGUGGAGAAAUACUACUCUUUCUCUCCAAAUUCCCCAGCAGCGAAUCAUUGUGUGUCAGCUGCUCACCCCGCAGAACACAAUAUGAGGUCUGUGCUUGAGUUGGUGUUAUUUUAUAUGUGCAGAAUGCUAGCUCUCUUUUUCAAUAAAUUAAUUGAGUUGAGAGAUGCUUUAAUGCCACAAGCAUUGGUCUGAACAUGUGGUUGUUCUGUAGCUGUUGUAAACUACAAGACCUCAAUGACUCCAUUUAAGAAAUACUUCUGUUUAGAAGAAAUUAAACGACUACAUGGACUCUUGGAUGCAAAUAAACUUUCAGAUAAUGAAA